CAUAUUACUGAGCCAGCUCUAUUUUACAGAAUAAAAUGAAUAUCGCUUAAUAUUUGCGUUUCUAUGCAUGUUUACCUUCAAUAUAUUAUAAUAUAGAUGCUAGCUCGGAACCUCGGAACUUCUGCUUCCUUUUAAAGGUUCCUUUCAACAGAUUUAGUCGACUUUAAUAUUAAGAAUAGAUGUUUGUAACCUGAAAACGAAUAAAAUUGAGGAUGCAAAAUUAAAAUCACAGAAGUUUGUACAAGGAAUAAAAAAUCAGUACAGGUUUUCAAAAGGCCACACUAUAAUGGAAGCCACCUGGGAAGUGUGUGCAAAUGCUGAAAAGACGAAAAGCAGAACACAAACAUCGUGCACAUUGAAUGGAUCUCCUCGUUGAGGUCCAGUUUCUCCAGUACAACUAGUUUGGUGUAAUAAAUCAAAAUUAUAUUAAAAUGGCUUACCACAACUUAAUGUAUACGAAUAUUUAUAUAAAAGUUUAAAAAUACAUUGGUGUGAUUAAAAAACUUUAUAAACUAAUUGUAAAAAUCCUUAAUUUGACAUUAAAAAGUACGUUUGUAUAUGGAA